GAUGAACGCUAGCGGCAGGCUUAAUACAUGCAAGUCGUGGGGCAGCAUGAAUGUAGCAAUACAUUUGAUGGCGACCGGCAAACGGGUGCGGAACACGUACACAACCUUCCUAUAAGUGGGGAAUAGCCCAGAGAAAUUUGGAUUAAUACCCCAUAGUAUAUUGAAAAGGCAUCUUUUUAAUAUUAAAGAUUUAUCACUUGAAGAUGGCUGUGCGGCUGAUUAGGUAGUUGGCGGGGUAACGGCCCACCAAGCCUGCGAUCAGUAACUGGUGUGAGAGCACGACCAGUCACACGGGCACUGAGACACGGGCCCGACUCCUACGGGAGGAAGCAGUAAGGAAUAUUGGUCAAUGGACGAAAGUCUGAACCAGCCAUGCCGCGUGGAGGAUGAAGGUCCUCUGGAUUGUAAACUUCUUUUAUAUGGGACGAAAAAAGGCUUUUCUAAGUCGUCUGACGGUACCAUAUGAAUAAGCACCGGCUAACUCCGUGCCAGCCGCCGCAGUAACAC
rnacentral:rRNA from 1 species